rnacentral:tRNA from 1 species
GGUCCUUUAGCUCAUGCAGUAGAGCACCGGUUUGAAAGGCCGGGGGACGAGGUGCGAGCCCUCGGGGGACCAC